rnacentral:rRNA from 1 species
GUAGGUGGCAAGCGUUGUCCGGAAUUAUUGGGCGUAAAGCGCGCGCAGGCGGUUCUUUAAGUCUGAUGUGAAAGCCCACGGCUCAACCGUGGAGGGUCAUUGGAAACUGGGAGAACUUGAGUACAGAAGAGGAAAGCGGAAUUCCACGUGUAGCGGUGAAAUGCGUAGAGAUGUGGAGGAACACCAGUGGCGAAGGCGGCUUUCUGGUCUGUAACUGACGCUGAGGCGCGAAAGCGUGGGGAGCAAACAGGAUUAGAUACCCUGGUAGUCCACGCCGUAAACGAUGAGUGCUAAGUGUUAGGGGGUUUCCGCCCCCCUUAGUGCUGCAGCUAACGCAUUAAGCACUCCGGCCUGGGAGUACGGCCGCAAGGCUGA